UGGGGAAUAUUGCACAAUGGGGGAAACCCUGAUGCAGCGACGCCGCGUGGAGGAAGAAGGUCUUCGGAUUGUAAACUCCUGUUGUUGAGGAAAAAGAGGAUGGUACUCAACAAGGAAGUGACGGCUAACUACGUGCCAGCAGCCGCGGUAAAACGUAGGUCACAAGCGUUGUCCGGAAUUACUGGGUGUAAAGGGAGCGCAGGCGGGUAUGCAAGUUGGGAGUGAAAUACAUGGGCUCAACCCAUGAACUGCUUUCAAAACUGUGUAUCUUGAGUAGUGCAGAGGUAGGCGGAAUUCCCGGUGUAGCGGUGGAAUGCGUAGAUAUCGGGAGGAACACCAGUGGCGAAGGCGGCCUACUGGGCACCAACUGACGCUGAGGCUCGAAAGUGUGGGUAGCAAACAGG
rnacentral:rRNA from 1 species